rnacentral:rRNA from 1 species
AGAGUUCGAUCCUGGCUCAGGAUGAACGCUGGCGGCGCGCCUAACACAUGCAAGUCGAACGGCACCUGCCUUCGGGCAGAAGCGAGUGGCGAACGGCUGAGUAACACGUGGAGAACCUGCCCCCUCCCCCGGGAUAGCCGCCCGAAAGGACGGGUAAUACCGGAUACCCCGGGGUGCCGCAUGGCACCCCGGCUAAAGCCCCGACGGGAGGGGAUGGCUCCGCGGCCCAUCAGGUAGACGGCGGGGUGACGGCCCACCGUGCCGACAACGGGUAGCCGGGUUGAGAGACCGACCGGCCAGAUUGGGACUGAGACACGGCCCAGACUCCUACGGGAGGCAGCAGUGGGGAAUCUUGCGCAAUGGGGGGAACCCUGACGCAGCGACGCCGCGUGCGGGACGGAGGCCUUCGGGUCGUAAACCGCUUUCAGCAGGGAAGAGUCAAGACUGUACCUGCAGAAGAAGCCCCGGCUAACUACGUGCCAGCAGCCGCGGUAAUACGUAGGGGGCGAGCGUUAUCCGGAAUCAUUGGGCGUAAAGCGCGCGCAGGCGGGCUUUCAAGCGGCGGCGUCGAAGCCGGGGGCUCAACCCCCGGAAGCGCCCCGAACUGGAAGCCUCGGAUGCGGCAGGGGGAGGCGGAAUUCCCGGUGUAGCGGUGAAAUGCGCAGAUAUCGGGAAGAACACCGACGGCGAAGGCAGCCUCCUGGGCCGGCAUCGACGCUGAGGCGCGAAAGCUGGGGGAGCGAACAGGAUUAGAUACCCUGGUAGUCCCAGCCGUAAACGAUGGACGCUAGGUGUGGGGGGACGAUCC